CCUACGGGAGGCAGCAGUGGGGAAUUUUGGACAAUGGGGGAAACCCUGAUCCAGCAAUGCCGCGUGUGUGAAGAAGGCCUUCGGGUUGUAAAGCACUUUUGUCAGGAACGAAACGGUGAGGGCUAAUACCUCUUGCUAAUGACGGUACCUGAAGAAUAAGCACCGGCUAACUACGUGCCAGCAGCCGCGGUAAUACGUAGGGUGCAAGCGUUAAUCGGAAUUACUGGGCGUAAAGCGUGCGCAGGCGGUUGUGCAAGACAGAUGUGAAAUCCCCGGGCUCAACCUGGGAAUGGCAUUUGUGACUGCACGGCUAGAGUGUGUCAGAGGGGGGUAGAAUUCCACGUGUAGCAGUGAAAUGCGUAGAUAUGUGGAGGAAUACCGAUGGCGAAGGCAGCCCCCUGGGAUAACACUGACGCUCAUGCACGAAAGCGUGGGGAGCAAACAGGAUUAGAUACCCUGGUAGUCCACGCCCUAAACGAUGUCAACUAGUUGUCGGGUCUUAAUUGACUUGGUAACGCAGCUAACGCGUGAAGUUGACCGCCUGGGGAGUACGGUCGCAAGAUUAAAACUCAAAGGAAUUGACGG
rnacentral:rRNA from 1 species